rnacentral:rRNA from 1 species
UACGUAGGGUGCAAGCGUUGUCCGGAAUUAUUGGGCGUAAAGAGCUCGUAGGCGGUCUGUCGCGUCUGCUGUGAAAACUCAGGGCUUAACCCUGAGCUUGCAGUGGGUACGGGCAGACUAGAGUGCGGUAGGGGAGACUGGAAUUCAUGGUGUAGCAGUGAAAUGCGUAGAGAUCAUGAGGAAGACCAGUGGCGAAGGCGGGUCUCUGGACAGUUCCUGACACUGAGAACACGAAGGCCAGGGGAGCAAACGGG